GACGAACGCUGGCGGCGGGCUUAACACAUGCAAGUCGAACGGAAAGGCCCUGCUUUUUUGGGGUGCUCGAGUGGCGAACGGGGGAGUAACACGUGAGUAACCGGCUCUUGACUUUGGGGUAACUUCAGGAAACUGGGGCUAAUACCGGAUAGGAGAUCCUGCUGCAUGGUGGGCGUUGGAAAGUUGCGGCGGUUGGGGAUGGACUGGCGGCUGAUCAGCUUGUUGGUGGGGUAGUGGCUUACCAAGGCAUAGACGGGUAGCCGGCAGGGGAGGGUGACCGGGCACAAUGGGACUGCGGGACGGCGCAGAGGCCAACGGGAGGCAGUAGGGGGGAGUAUUGCACAAUGGGCGGAAGUCUGAGGCGGCGACGUCGGGUGCGGGAUGACGGCCUUCGGGGUAUAAACCGCUGUCGCCUGUGACGAAGCGGGAGUGACGGUAAUGGGUGAAGAAGCACCGGCUAACUACGUG
rnacentral:rRNA from 1 species